UUGGACAGCCUUCUGAAAGGAAGAUUAAUACAAGAUGGCAUCAUGAGUUCACAUGUUCACAUGAUUAAAGGUAUUCCGGCAGACGAUGGGGAUGCGUUCCAUUAGAUAGUAGGCGGGGUAACGGCCCACCUAGUCUUCGAUGGAUAGGGGUUCUGAGAGGAAGGUCCCCCACAUUGGAACUGAGACACGGUCCAAACUCCUACGGGAGGCAGCAGUGAGGAAUAUUGGUCAAUGGGCGCAGGCCUGAACCAGCCAAGUAGCGUGAAGGAUGACCGCCCUAUGGGUUGUAAACUUCUUUUAUAAAGGAAUAAAGUCGGGUAUGUAUACCCGUUUGCAUGUACUUUAUGAAUAAGGAUCGGCUAACUCCGUGCCAGCAGCCGCGGUAAUACGGAGGAUCCGAGCGUUAUCCGGAUUUAUUGGGUUUAAAGGGAGCGUAGAUGGAUGUUUAAGUCAGUUGUGAAAGUUUGCGGCUCAACCGUAAAAUUGCAGUUGAUACUGGAUAUCUUGAGUGCAGUUGAGGCAGGCGGAAUUCGUGGUGUAGCGGUGAAAUGCUUAGAUAUCACGAAGAACUCCGAUUGCGAAGGCAGCCUGCUAAGCUGCAACUGACAUUGAGGCUCGAAAGUG
rnacentral:rRNA from 1 species